AAAGAGGACUCCUACAUUUUCCCUUGCUAACAAGAAAGAUAAAUAAGACUCUCUAAAAUGUUUUCAGCUGCAAAUAACAGUCAUGGUGUGGAAACUAAAGGAGUGCCACCCAUCACUCUCAUUAAGAUUGGACUUACUUUGCUAUAAUUAGCAGCAUUCUUCACAGCCAGAACCAGCUCAGGAGCAUCGGGAGGCAGCAGGAGCAAGAACAAGAUGGACAGCAGCAGCUGAAGUCAGGCACCUCAAGCGGACUGCUGCUUCAUCGCAGUAAAACCAACCCAGCAGUUCUGAUCUCAUUGGCAAAACUGUGAUUUCUUUAUCAAACAUUGUCUGACUUACCCCAUGUAUCCACAGCCUUUGCCAUUUGCAUUUACUACAUUGUAAUCUAGGGACUGAUUGCUUGUGUUUACUGUCCACAAACCUCAUUAUCAUAACUUCAUCACUGUUCAUGGAGUGAUACUUUUUUGUUUCUCUAUCCUUUUUGGCAUUAAUAGGUUGUAUUGACAUGCUGAAAAUGCUAGGCAGUUAUUUUAGAGCUACAACACAUAACCUGCUUUUCAGAUACUAAUGCCCACUUCCUUUUCAUUAAAAUUGAUUGAAAUCUUUUUAAAAUAAAUGUCCUAAGAUUUAAAA